GACGAGGGGUCCUAGCGUUGCUCGGAAUCAUUGGGCGUAAAGCGGGUGUAGGCGGCUAUGUAAGUCAGGAGUGAAAGCCCUGGGCUCAACCCGGGAAGUGCUUUUGAUACUGCAUAGCUUGAGUGUGGGAGAGGGCAGUGGAAUUCCUGGUGUAGUGGUGAAAUACGUAGAUAUCAGGAGGAACACCGGUGGCGAAGGCGGCUGCCUGGCCCAACACUGACGCUCAGACCCGAAAGCGUGGGGAGCAAACAGG
rnacentral:misc_RNA from 1 species